rnacentral:rRNA from 1 species
GACGAACGCUGGCGGCGUGCUUAACACAUGCAAGUCGAACGUGAUUUUUGUGGAAAUUCUUUCGGGAAUGGAAAUGAAAUGAAAGUGGCGAACGGGUGAGUAACACGUGAGCAACCUACCUUACACAGGGGGAUAGCCGUUGGAAACGACGAUUAAUACCGCAUGAGACCACAGAAUCGCAUGAUAUAGGGGUCAAAGAUUUAUCGGUGUAAGAAGGGCUCGCGUCUGAUUAGCUAGUUGGAAGGGUAAAGGCCUACCAAGGCGACGAUCAGUAGCCGGUCUGAGAGGAUGAACGGCCACAUUGGAACUGAGACACGGUCCAAACUCCUACGGGAGGCAGCAGUGGGGAAUAUUGCACAAUGGGGGGAACCCUGAUGCAGCGACGCCGCGUGAGCGAAGAAGGUUUUCGAAUCGUAAAGCUCUGUCCUAUGAGAAGAUAAUGACGGUAUCAUAGGAGGAAGCC